AUGUCUGUCACCGGCAUCAUUGACGUAAGGAAAAAAAUAAUCAACGACACCGCUAAUUGGCACAUUUGACACAUUAUUAAUUAGCAUAAUAGCACAGCCUGGAAAAAUCAUGGGUUGAAUUAUACUUCAAGCCAAUCGUAAGC